rnacentral:rRNA from 1 species
GACAGAGGGUGCAAACGUUGUUCGGAAUUACUGGGCGUAAAGCGCGUGUAGGCGGCCAUGCAAGUCGGAUGUGAAAGCCCUCGGCUCAACCGGGGAAGUGCACUCGAAACUGCAAGGCUAGAGUCUCGGAGAGGAUCGUGGAAUUCUCGGUGUAGAGGUGAAAUGCGUAGAGAUCGGGAGGAACACCGGUGGCGAAGGCGGCCAGCUGGCGCUGACCUGACGCUGAGGCGCGAAGGCGUGGGGAGCGAACGGG